rnacentral:sRNA from 1 species
GCGGAAACACAGACCAUUGCGGUCAACCGA